GGGUUAGUAGGUUGGUCAUGCUUCUGGUAUGUACUGGUCUCACUGAUUCCUCCUUCCUGAUGAACCUUAAUGCCAUUAAUUUGGUGUUUUGGGGCAUUUGGACUGUUACUUUGAAAAAAUUAGUGUGUUUAAAGCAAGCUAACGUUUGAAUACAUUAGCAUGGAAUAAUGAAAUAGGACGUUCGAUCCUAUUUUGUUGGUUUCUAGGAUUGACGUA
rnacentral:rRNA from 1 species